rnacentral:rRNA from 1 species
CAAUAGCGUAUAUUUAAGUUGUUGCAGUUAAAAAGCUCGUAGUCGGAUUUUGGCUGAGAACGAUCGGUCCGACGUUAGGUGUGCACUGAUUGGUCUCAGCUUCCUGGUGAGGAGGUGUGCUUCACGGCCACUUAGUCACCGUGGUUACUUUGAAAAAAUUAGAGUGUUCAAAGCGGGCUUACGCUUGAAUAUAUUAGCAUGGAAUAACACCAUAGGACUCCUGUCCUAUUUCGUUGGUCUCGGGACGGGAGUAAUGAUUAAGAGGAACAGUUGGGGGCAUUCGUAUUUCAUUGUCAGAGGUGAAAUUCUUGGAUUUAUGAAAGACGAACUUCUGCGAAAGCAUUUGCCAAGGAUGUUUUCAUUGA